rnacentral:rRNA from 1 species
GACAGAGGCCCCAAGCGUUAGGCGGAAUCACUGGGCUUAAAGCGUGUGUAGGCGGAUCGUUAAGUGUCUUGUGAAAUCCCACGGCUCACCCGUGGAACUGCUGGGCAUACUGGCGAUCUUGGGCCAACUAGGGGCAGCCGGAACAAGCGGUGGAGCGGUGAAAUGCGUAGAUAUCGCUUGGAACGCCGAAGGUGAAAGCAGGCUGCUGGGGUUGCGCCGACGCUGAGACACGAAAGCCAGGGGAGCAAACGGG